GGGCCCACCGGCUUGAGGCUGCCUUUCCCGGCGUUCCCUCGUUUAUUGGCUCACUCUUCCUUUCAUCCAUCCAUCCUUUGCGCAACAAUAUUUGAUGGGAAGCCUGCCAAGGAAUUAAAUUUUGUUCAGACAUCCACUCUUCACCUUCCCAGCCCCUGUUUGCCUGUAACUACAAAGCAGAGGCAGGGAGAAAGACACAUGGGCAGGAGAAUACCACAUGGAGACACAGACACACGAGGGGAGGAUGCCUGCUGACCAUGGAGGCAGAAGUGGGACUGACGCAUCGAUCAGCUGAGGGAUGCCAAGCACUGCCAGCAAACACCAGAGGCUUGAUGGGGGCGAGUAUUCUCCUGUGCAGGUAUCAGAGGGAGCCUGGCCUUGCAGAUACCUUGAUUCCUGACUUCUGGCCUCUAAAAUGAUUUCACCUGAUUCUUGGCCACAAAGUUUCAAGGGAACCAGAGCUAAUGAAGACAGCAUGGAAGGGCACCGCCGAGACCUACCUGUGGGAGUCCACCUCACCCUCAAGAACAGCUACCAUUUUAACACAGAUGGAUAAACCCCAUGAAAGUGAACUUCCUAAAUGCAAAUUCUGAUCUUGAAGCCCCAGCUGGCACAUCUACUGGAGACCCUCCCAAGCAACAAGAUGUAGAUGCUUUAGAGAUAACAAACUAUACAAGUUGUCUUCCAUUCUUUCUCCUUCCUCUAUUUUCAACACGGAUAAAAUACAUAUAUAUUUAUCUUGCUGAGCUCAGUAGGAUUAUUUAGCUUUAUUUCCAUGGCUGCCUUUUCUUAAUGUAAUAGAAUUUCCAAUCGAGCUUAUUACUUCCUUCCGUCACAAGCCUGAGGUCCUUUCACACCCAUCCUGUCCUUGGCAAAGAUCUUUGGAAAGUAGCCUGGGACAUACCUAGUGGUAAGCCACCUGCUCUGGGUUGAGGGUGGAUCUAUUCUAGUCAGAGGCUUUGUGAUCUGGACAAAGGAAUUGAGUAUGUGGCUGUCAAACUGUCAGGCAAUACUAAAUUUGGCUGGCCAGCUGAAUUCUAGCAGAAAAUCAUGCAAAAUAAGGUUUAGCAAUUGGGGAAAAAUGGCCCACAGGAAAAACAAAGGGAUGAAAUUCCGUAGGACUACACGGCCAUAGAAUUCUAACUUGAGGGCUGCAACCAGCUAUGUGACCUUGUAGUACAAGGACCAGUCUUCAGAUACAAAAUAGAGUUUGGAGUUAAAGGGAUCUUUGAGAAGAAGCCAUUAUCCACCCCCUCCUCCCAAUUUUAUAUGCCCUAAGAAAAAGGUUUCUUUCAACUUAGAAAGGUAUGAUUCUUGAAGUGCACUUCCUCCGAGUUUUCCUGAGCCUCUCAAUCAAAAUGACUUGCACCUGCCCAUCCAUUCCCAUUGGCUUAUGCUCCUACCCUGCAGUAUUGGCUUCAUUAUGCCUCACCUUGUACACCUGUCUGAUUCCUCUCCUAGAUUAUCAGCACCUUGACAAUGGGCUCGUAUCUUGUGUAUCCCUGAAUUUCCAGGGACAAUGAUAGUGCCUGCCACAUAAUUGAUGGUCAAUAAAUUUUGGUUAAAUAGUAACAAGAAACUCCCAUUUAAAAAAUGUGUUAUCGUUAUCAUUCUCAAUCUGGAUGCUCUCCUCUAUACACAGUUUUAUUCAGUAACUCUCUUAAAAUUGUAAAGGUGAGAAAUUGAACACAGUUUCCCAGGUCUUUGAGCAGCACGAGAUACAGGGAGAAAAAAAAUGCUUUGUGCUUGAAUACUUUACUUCUGAUUGGAGAAAAUAAACACUGCACUGGAUUAUUUUUAAAGAUACAUCACAUUACGUUUGUGAUCAACUGAAAUGCUAAGAUAUUUGCAUGUGGAUUUCUGCCAAGCUGCUUUUCUCCCAUUCUUCAUGUGUGUGAUUGAUCUUGAAAUCAAAUGGUGGGACUUUAUAUAUUUUUUUGUUUUAACUCAAGGUAAAGUCUGACAAAAAUCACGUUAAAUUUGAUGCUGUCAGUGAAGACAUUAGCAAUCCUUCCUGGCUUAAGGUCACUGGCAAAUUUGAUAUACUUAUCUUUUGUGGGGUUUUUUUGUUGGUUUUUUUAAGACAGGGUCCCACUCUGUCACCCAAGUUAGAGUACAGUGGCUUGAAAAUGGCUCACUGAAGCCUCGACCUCCCAGGCUUAAGCAAUCCUCCCACCUCAGCCUCCUGAGUAGCUGGGACUACAGGCAUGCACCACAAUGUCUGGCUGAAUUUUUUUUUUUUUUUUUUUUUUUUGUAGAGAUGUGGUCUUCCUAUGGUUCCCAGGCUGGUCUUGAACUCCUGGGCUCAACCAAUCCUCCCACCUUGGCCUCCCAAAGUGCUGAGAUUAUAGGCAUAAGCCACAACAUGCAGCCGUCUUUUCCGUUUUUAUCCCACUCUUUGACAAUGUUGGAAGGAUUAGGACUAGCUCUAAUAAGAGUCACCCCCUUCAUAUUGGGUAAUCAACCAACAGCUAGAAAUGUACACUGAAAUACUACCAGACAUCCCUUAUUUUACCAUCUUAUCCACAAAGAUCUUACAGAUGACAUUUUAAAAACAUUGUCUAAAGCACAGAAAUACUUUUAAGCACAGUAGCCCCUGAAGCUUGCCAGCCAAAUAAUCUAUUAAAACUUAAAUGAAACAAGGCAAGUAUGGUGCAUGCGUAUGGUGGCUGUGGUACUGGUGGCAUGCUUUUUUAAAUUCUACAGUCUCCUCCAACCACCCUCUGCUUUUUAAGUAAGUCUAAUUUAGCAUAUGCCUUGGCAUUCAUAUUAGGCUGACUUUCCACGACUGGCAUCCC
rnacentral:lncRNA from 1 species